rnacentral:rRNA from 1 species
UACGAAGGGGGCUAGCGUUGCUCGGAAUCACUGGGCGUAAAGCGCACGUAGGCGGAUCCUUAAGUCGGGGGUGAAAUCCUGGAGCUCAACUCCAGAACUGCCUUCGAUACUGAGGAUCUCGAGUCCGGGAGAGGUGAGUGGAACUGCGAGUGUAGAGGUGAAAUUCGUAGAUAUUCGCAAGAACACCAGUGGCGAAGGCGGCUCACUGGCCCGGUACUGACACUGAGACGCGAAGGCGUGGGGAGCGAACGGG